GAGGCUUUAGUAUAAGUAAAAGUAUAAUUUAUUUUCAAUAAAUAGGUAAUUAAGUCUUAU
rnacentral:tRNA from 1 species